ACGCCGCGUGAGUGAUGAAGGUUUCGGAUCGUAAAACUCUGUUGUUGGAGAAGAACGAGUGUGAGAGUAACUGCUCAUGCUUUGACGGUAUCCAACCAGAAAGCCACGGCUAACUACGUGCCAGCAGCCGCGGUAAUACGUAGGUGGCAAGCGUUGUCCGGAUUUAUUGGGCGUAAAGCGAGCGCAGGCGGUCUUUUAAGUCUGAUGUGAAAGCCUUCGGCUUAACCGAAGAAUUGCAUUGGAAACUGGAAUACUUGAGUGCAGAAGAGGACAGUGGAACUCCAUGUGUA
rnacentral:rRNA from 1 species